UACAGAGGUGGCAAGCGUUGUUCGGAAUUACUGGGCGUAAAGGGCGCGUAGGCGGUCUUUCAAGUCCCGUGUGAAAUCCCUCGGCUCAACUGAGGAACUGCACGGGAAACUGUUUGGCUUGAGUUCGGGAGAGGGAAGCGGAAUUCCGGGUGUAGCGGUGAAAUGCGUAGAUAUCUGGAGGAACACCGGUGGCGAAGGCGGCAUCCUGGACCAACACUGACGCUGAGGAGCGAAAGCCAGGGGAGCAAACGGG
rnacentral:rRNA from 1 species